rfam:Skermanella aerolata KACC 11604 strain 5416T-32 contig7, whole genome shotgun sequence.
GGGUGCAUAGCUCAGUUGGUAGAGCAGCUGACUCUUAAUCAGCGGGCCCAAGGUUCGAGUCCUUGUGCACCCA